GCGCAGCAGUCGCGAAAACUUUGCAAUAAGCGAAAGCUUGACAGGGCUAUCCCGAGUGCCAUCCGCUGAGGAAGGCUUUUACCCAGUCUAGAAAGCUGGGGGAAUAAGGAGAGGGCAAGUCUGGUGUCAGCCGCCGCGGUAAUACCAGCUCUCCGAGUGGUGUGGAUGUUUAUUGGGCCUAAAGCAUCCGUAGCUGGCUGAGUUAGUCCCCUGUUAAAUCCACCGAAUUAAUCGUUGGAUUGCGGGGGAUACUGCUUGGCUAGGGGAUGGGAGAGGCAGACGGUAUUUCCGGGGUAGGGGUGAAAUCCUAUAAUCCCGGGAAGACCACCAGUGGCGAAGGCUGUCUGCUAGAACGCGCCCGACGGUGAGGGAUGAAAGCUGGGGGAGCGAACCGGAUUAGAUACCCGGGUAGUCC
rnacentral:rRNA from 1 species